rfam:[Eubacterium] angustum strain DSM 1989 ETAN_contig000031, whole genome shotgun sequence.
UGGAGGUAGACCGGGGGAACUGAAACAUCUAAGUACCCCGAGGAAGAGAAAGAAAAAUCGAUUUUCUGAGUAGCGGCGAGCGAAAGGGAAAGAGCCCAAACCGCAGAGGGCAACUUCUGCGGGGUUGAGGACCGGCAUAACGCGAUGGAGGUAUUGUAGUCGAAGAGGUCUGGAAAGGCCCGCCGCAGGUGGUGAAAGCCCAGUAGACGAAACGAGAAGACCCGCAGCCGUGAUCCAGAGUACCACGAGACACGUGAAACCUUGUGGGAAGCAGGGGGGACCACCCCCCAAGGCUAAAUACUUCCUAGUGACCGAUAGUGCACAGUACCGUGAGGGAAAGGUGAAAAGAACCCCGGGAGGGGAGUGAAAUAGAACCUGAAACCAUAUGUCUACAAGCAGUGGAAGCUCUUUAUACGAGCGACCGCGUACUUUUUGUAGAACGGGCCAGCGAGUUACGAUAUGCAGCGAGGUUAAGUACUUAAGGUACGGAGCCGAAGGGAAACCGAGUCUGAAUAGGGCGAGAGUUGUAUGUCGUAGACCCGAAACCGGGUGAUCUACCCAUGGGCAGGAUGAAACGGAAGUAAAAUUUCGUGGAGGUCCGAACCGUUUAGCGUUUAAAAGCUAUCGGAUGACCUGUGGGUAGGGGUGAAAUUCCAAUCGAACCCGGAGAUAGCUGGUUCUCCUCGAAAUAGCUUUAGGGCUAGCCUCAAAGUAGUGAUGCGGAGGUAGAGCACUGAAUAUCUGAUGGGCGCUUUGCGUUACUGAAGAUUAUCAAACUCCGAAUGCCGCAAUCAUGUUCUUUGGGAGUCAGACUGCGUGUGAUAAGAUUCGUAGUCGAAAGGGAAACAGCCCAGACCGCCAGCUAAGGCCCCCAAGUGUAAAUUAAGUGGGAAAGGAUGUAGGACUACACAGACAACCAGGAUGUUGGCUUAGAAGCAGCCAUACAUUCAAAGAGUGCGUAAUAGCUCACUGGUCGAGUGGUCCUGCGCCGAAAAUAACCGGGGCUAAAAUUUACCGCCGAAGCUGCGGAUUCGAAAGAAUGGUAGAGGAGCAUCGUAUGUGGGCAGAAGUCAUACCGGAAGGAGUGGUGGACUGCAUACGAGAGAGAAUGCUGGCAUGAGUAGCGAGAAGGUAAGUGAGAAUCUUACCCGUCGAAAGCCCAAGGUUUCCUGAGGAAGGCUCGUCCGCUCAGGGUAAGUCGGGGCCUAAGCCGAGGACGAAUGUCGUAGGCGAUGGACAACAGGUCGAAAUUCCUGUACUACCUGAAUAUGUUUAAGAGAUGGAGUGACACAGGAGGAUAGGUCAAGCGCGCCGUUGGUUGAGCGCGUCCAAGCGAGUAGGGAGUUCUGGUAGGCAAAUCCGCCGGAACAAUUCUGAGACGUGAUGGGGAGUGAAAUUAAGUAGCGAAGUGAUUGAUUCCACACUGGCAAGAAAAGCUUCUAUUGAGUAUUCGGGUACCCGUACCGCAAACCGACACAGGUAGGCGAGGAGAAAAUCCUAAGACGCGCGGAAGAACUAUUGUUAAGGAACUCGGCAAAAUGACCCCGUAACUUCGGGAGAAGGGGUGCCGGGGCGUGUGAAGGAUGUACAUCUGGAGCAUGAACCGGCCGCAGAGAAUAGGCCCAAGCGACUGUUUACCAAAAACACAGGUCUCUGCUAAAUCGAAAGAUGAAGUAUAGGGGCUGACGCCUGCCCGGUGCUGGAAGGUUAAGGGGAAGUGUUAGAGCAAUCGAAGCACAGAACUUAAGCCCCAGUAAACGGCGGCCGUAACUAUAACGGUCCUAAGGUAGCGAAAUUCCUUGUCGGGUAAGUUCCGACCCGCACGAAAGGCGUAACGAUUUGGGCACUGUCUCAACAAUAGAUCCGGUGAAAUUGUAGUACCAGUGAAGAUGCUGGUUACCCGCGACAGGACGGAAAGACCCCGUGGAGCUUUACUGCAAGCUGACAUUGGAUUUUGGUGAUAUAUGUACAGGAUAGGUGGGAGACUACGAAACUAGAGCGCCAGCUUUGGUGGAGUCGCUGUUGGGAUACCACCCUUGUAUUACUGGAAUUCUAACCAUGUACUGUGAAACCAGUACUGGGACACUGUCAGUUGGGCAGUUUGACUGGGGCGGUCGCCUCCUAAAGAGUAACGGAGGCGCUCAAAGGUUCUCUCAGUACGGUCGGAAAUCGUGCGAAGAGUGCAAAGGCAUAAGAGAGCUUGACUGCGAGACCUACAAGUCGAGCAGGGACGAAAGUCGGACUUAGUGAUCCGGUGGCACCGAGUGGAAGGGCCAUCGCUCAACGGAUAAAAGCUACCCCGGGGAUAACAGGCUUAUCUCCCCCAAGAGUCCACAUCGACGGGGAGGUUUGGCACCUCGAUGUCGGCUCGUCUCAUCCUGGAGCUGGAGUAGGUUCCAAGGGUUGGGCUGUUCGCCCAUUAAAGAGGCACGCGAGCUGGGUUCAGAACGUCGUGAGACAGUUCGGUCCCUAUCCGUCGUGGGCGCAGGAAAUUUGAGAGGCGCUGUCCCUAGUACGAGAGGACCGGGAUGGACAGACCAAUGGUGUAUCAGUUGUCGUGCCAACGGCAUGGCUGAGUAGCUACGUCUGGAAGUGAUAAGCGCUGAAGGCAUCUAAGCGCGAAGCAUCCCUCAAGAUUAGAUUUCCCAUCUGGUUAACAGAGUAAGAUCCCAGGAAGACUACCUGGUAGAUAGGUCACAGGUGUAAGGGCAG